AUGCCAAACCUCAUCAACACUCUACUAAAUCAAUCUUAUAUGUUACAAAAACAGGAUUUGAGCCUAGCUCAGUUGGUGGGAGAUAUGGGCGUGCACCCCCCAUUAGCUAAAGUCCUCUUUUUGCAAUGUACCUAGUUCCUCCUAGGUUGGUUUAGUUUACUGUAAGGGCCUUCUUAUUUUAUAUAAAACAGCAAACAACACUAUAGAAAAGCAUUAAACUGAAGUAGAAUAAGGACAUAGACAAACAUUAGGAAGAACAAGAUGACUGACACUCAACUUAUAUGCGGACAAAAAAAUUGAAAAAAGAACAUAAACGCAAAAAUAGUCAAAAUGGGAUAAGUGGUCUUAAAACAGAUAACAUGUAGAUACCUUGCACACAUCAUUCUUUGUGCAAAUCAGUAUGCGUAAUUCAUUUGAAUGAGUGGCCUCAAAAGUCAAAAAUAAAACAAAAAACAGUAGUUCAUCUUUGGGUUGUAUGGAGACAAUUUAUUCCUCAAAAGAAAAAGGGAAGCAUUGUGUGCAAAUCAAUCUGUGUAGUUCAUCUUCGGGUAAGUAUUGCACAGACCAGAACCACCUCUUCUGCAAGGAAAAAGGAAACACAAGAAGUAUAGGUUCCGUAGUUAUCUCCUAAUCAUCCAUUGCUCUCAUUUUACAUGUGCAUAACUGCAUAUGCUUAAAGAAAAGUUAGCUCCAUUUUGAACAUAACAACCCUGAAGUAAAGGGAAAAAUAAUAUUAGACUGAUGAAAGCACCAUGGCAGCACAAAUAUGCCAAAUAGAUCCACUGUCAGCCUUCAGGCACAAACUCAACCAAUGAAAAAAUUAUAUCCUUACUGCCAUCGGUGGAGCUAACUUUUUCAUUAGUUAGGAGAUAUCUCUCUCCGCACUUCUAAAUCAGCUUACUCCGCACUGCCAUCGGUUCCUUACUGCUAAUGAAAAUCAUGAUUUGAGAGCUCUCUCCGCACUGCCAUCGGUUCCUUACUGUCAAUGAAAAUCAUGAAACCGGAGCCUUCAGGCACAAACCGGAGCUCUCUCCACACAAACUCAACCAUGAUUAGGAGAUUGGAGCUCUCAAACCGCAACACGUGCUUCCUUACUGCGCGGAGAGAGCUCCAAUUCCUUACUGCCAUUUCAACUUCUUAAAUUUAAUUAAUUAGAUCGAACCGAUGAAAUUGGCAUGUAGAUUUGUCUCGGAAAACAAAUGACAAAAUAUAUUUAUAACAAAUAUAUAAUAAUAAAACUCGGCAUCACAGUUCACAUUUUAGAGGUUAAUGAAUGAGGAUGCAUACAUGUUGUUCCCACUCCCAAACAUUGAAUCAAGAAAUUUACAAAACAUGGAUCUGCCAAUCCAGGCGGUGGUAUCGGCUGAGUGAAUCAAGUUUGCACUAAUUUUCUUUCUUUCAUGUUGGUCUCAGAGAAGGGGAGAAAAGAGAAUAAGGACAUUAUGAACAACUUCAACAAAAUUUGCCAGAGUGAAUGCAGCAGCAAUGUUCUCUAUCACGAAAACAGAACCUAGCCAAAUUUGAGCCUAUCAUAUCAAGACUGCAGUUGCUUAUAACUUUUAGACUGCAGUUUGGGGCCCUCUGAGUAGCAGCGAUCUCCUGCUACUCGGCCGCUAGUUGUAGUGUGCCCUGCAGUUGACACAGCAACACCAUGUCUCCGAAGAUAACACCUGCACUACCUUGGCAUAGAGGGGGUGAAUAAUUUUCUGGGACAUGCACAAAUGUGCUUUGCCUCUCUGUCCUGCUUCACUACAAGGGCUAUGUAAGUGUGUUGCACUCACCUACCUGUUGUUAUAUGUGUAAUAUAUAAUGCUAGUUUCCUGUUUAGCACGUUUCUCCUCAAACAAGUGCCUAUUAUUGAUUAAAGGCUGAAUUGCGACUGCGGGUUUGAAUGUGAUUCUCAAUGAUGAAUGGGUUCAGUGACAUUCAUGUAUGGCAGCAUAGGCUAAUUUACUAAUGAAUAAAUUUGUUCAAUGACCAUUUUUGUUGUCAAGUGAUUCCAUGCAAAUAAAGAGCAAAAGGAUAUUUUACACACGUGGAGUACUACCACAUCCAAAGUUUGCUGAAUAUAAAAACAUGUUGUCGUGUAGCACUGUUGCAAGGGUUAAUGUGUUGACUUAAUGAUUUGUGGCAACCUUAGUUAAUAACAAAGUGCUUCAAAAUUUCAGUGGCACAAUUUCAGUGCUUCAAAAUUUAAUAUGUGCUUCCUGGUUUAAUGCACUUAAGUCAGUAAAAGAAUCAACUUGCAAAAUAACUUGCCUAUUACAACUAUGAAAAGAUUCAUAUGUAGAACGAGGUGGAUGAAAAAAUCUAGAUUAAAUUUUGCUCUCUAAGUAUGAUAAUCAGGUAUAUAGAGUGUCUGUGUUUGGUUAGCUUAAAAAAAUUAGCAAGACAAAGAUUUGGCAACCAAAAGUUGAACAAAAAUAUUUGCUAGAAGCCGUAUCAACACCAACCAAACAAAUUUAUCCUAACGCAAUAUUAAGAGAAAUAACUGAAAACAACCCUAUUAAGCAUUUGGCAUAAUCUUUUAAUAUAGCAUUUGGGAUAAAAU
rnacentral:lncRNA from 7 species